UACGGGGGGAGCAAGCGUGGUUCGGAUUUACUGGGCGUAAAGGGCGCGUAGGCGGUCGUGACAAGUCACUUGUGAAAUCUCCGGGCUUAACUCGGAAAGGUCAAGUGAUACUGUCGGACUAGAGUACAGAAGGGGCAACUGGAAUUCUCGGUGUAGCGGUGAAAUGCGUAGAUAUCGAGAGGAACACCUGCGGCGAAGGCGGGUUGCUGGGCUGAUACUGACGCUGAGGCGCGAAAGCUAGGGGAGCGAACGGG
rnacentral:rRNA from 1 species